CGCAAGCCUGACGGAGCAACGCCGCGUGAGGGAUGAAGGCCUCUGGGCUGUAAACCUCUUUUAUCAAGGAAGAAGAUCUGACGGUACUUGAUGAAUAAGCCACGGCUAAUUCCGUGCCAGCAGCCGCGGUAAUACGGGAGUGGCAAGCGUUAUCCGGAAUUAUUGGGCGUAAAGCGUCCGCAGGCGGUCUUGAAAGUCUGUUGUUAAAGCGUGGAGCUCAACUCCAUUUCAGCAAUGGAAACUAGAAGACUAGAGUGUGGUAGGGGCAGAGGGAAUUCCCGGUGUAGCGGUGAAAUGCGUAGAUAUUGGGAAGAACACACGUGGCGAAGGCGCUCUGCUGGGCCAUAAAUGACGUUCAUGGACGAAAGCCAGGGGAGCG
rnacentral:rRNA from 1 species